AGCUUAGAGACCAACUAAGUUUGUUCUGGGUAAAAGCUUCCAUGUGCAUGCUUAUACCCAGAACAAACUUAGUUGGUCUCUAAGGU